AGUGAACGCUGGCGGUAGGCCUAACACAUGCAAGUCGAACGGCAGCACAGUAAGAGCUUGCUCUUACGGGUGGCGAGUGGCGGACGGGUGAGGAAUACAUCGGAAUCUACUUUUUCGUGGGGGAUAACGUAGGGAAACUUACGCUAAUACCGCAUACGACCUACGGGUGAAAGCAGGGGAUCUUCGGACCUUGCGCGAUUGAAUGAGCCGAUGUCGGAUUAGCUAGUUGGCGGGGUAAAGGCCCACCAAGGCGACGAUCCAUAGCUGGUCUGAGAGGAUGAUCAGCCACACUGGAACUGAGACACGGUCCAGACUCCUACGGGAGGCAGCAGUGGGGAAUAUUGGACAAUGGGCGCAAGCCUGAUCCAGUCAUACCGCGUGGGUGAAGAAGGCCUUCGGGUUGUAAAGCCCUUUUGUUGGGAAAGAAAAGCAGCAGGUUAAUACCCCGCUGUUCUGACGGUACCCAAAGAAUAAGCACCGGCUAACUUCGUG
rnacentral:rRNA from 1 species